AUGGUUGUCGUCAGCUCGUGUCGUGAGAUGUUGGGUUAAGUCCCGCAACGAGCGCAACCCCUAUUGUUAGUUGCCAUCAUUCAGUUGGGCACUCUAGCGAGGCUGCCGGUAAUAAACCGGAGGAAGUGGGAUGACGUCAAAUCAUCAUGCCCCUUAUGACCUGGGCUACACACGUGCUACAAUGGUUGGUACAACGAGUUGCGAGUCGGUGACGGCGAGCUAAUCUCUUAAAGCCAAUCUCAGUUCGGAUUGUAGGCUGCAACUCGCCUACAUGAAGUCGGAAUCGCUAGUAAUCGCGGAUCAGCACGCCGCGGUGAAUACGUUCCCGGGCCUU
rnacentral:rRNA from 1 species